rnacentral:rRNA from 1 species
AGAACGAACGCUGGCGGCGUGGAUUAGGCAUGCAAGUCGAACGCGAAAGAGGGAGCAAUCCCUCGACGUAGAGUGGCGAACGGGUGAGUAACGCGUGAAGAACCUGCCUUCAACAGGGGGAUAACACUCCCAACGGGGUGCUAAUACCGCAUGAGACCACGGGAUCGCAUGGUCCUGAGGUCAAAGGUGGCCUCUAUUUAUAAGCUACCGGUUGAAGAUGGCUUCGCGUCCCAUUAGCUAGUUGGCGGUGUAAAAGCCACCAAGGCGACGAGUGGGUAG